GCGAGGCCGAAAGGCGUAGUCGAUGGGAAACGGGUUAAUAUUCCCGUACUUGGUGUUACUGCGAAGGGGGGACGGAGAAGGCUAUGUUGGCCGGGCGACGGUUGUCCCGGUUUAAGCGUGUAGGUGUGUGUUCCAGGUAAAUCCGGUUCACUUUAACACUGAGGCGUGACGACGAGGCACUACGGUGCUGAAGCAACAAAUGCCCUGCUUCCAGGAAAAGCCUCUAAGCAUCAGGUAACAUCAAAUCGUACCCCAAACCGACACAGGUGGUCAGGUAGAGAAUACCAAGGCGCUUGAGAGAACUCGGGUGAAGGAACUAGGCAAAAUGGUGCCGUAACUUCGGGAGAAGGCACGCUGACACGUAGGUGAAGUGAUUUACUCAUGGAGCUGAAGUCAGUCGAAGAUACCAGCUGGCUGCAACUGUUUAUUAAAAACACAGCACUGUGCAAACACGAAAGUGGACGUAUACGGUGUGACGCCUGCCCGGUGCCGGAAGGUUAAUUGAUGGGGUCAGCGCAAGCGAAGCUCCUGAUCGAAGCCCCGGUAAACGGCGGCCGUAACUAUAACGGUCCUAAGGUAGCGAAAUUCCUUGUCGGGUAAGUUCCGACCUGCACGAAUGGCGUAAUGAUGGCCAGGCUGUCUCCACCCGAGACUCAGUGAAAUUGAACUCGCUGUGAAGAUGCAGUGUACCCGCGGCAAGACGGAAAGACCCCGUGAACCUUUACUAUAGCUUGACACUGAACAUUGAGCCUUGAUGUGUAGGAUAGGUGGGAGGCUUUGAAGUGUGGACGCCAGUCUGCAUGGAGCCGACCUUGAAAUACCACCCUUUAAUGUUUGAUGUUCUAACGUGGACCCGUUACCCGGGUUGCGGACAGUGUCUGGUGGGUAGUUUGACUGGGGCGGUCUCCUCCUAAAGAGUAACGGAGGAGCACGAAGGUUGGCUAAUCCUGGUCGGACAUCAGGAGGUUAGUGCAAUGGCAUAAGCCAGCUUGACUGCGAGCGUGACGGCGCGAGCAGGUGCGAAAGCAGGUCAUAGUGAUCCGGUGGUUCUGAAUGGAAGGGCCAUCGCUCAACGGAUAAAAGGUACUCCGGGGAUAACAGGCUGAUACCGCCCAAGAGUUCAUAUCGACGGCGGUGUUUGGCACCUCGAUGUCGGCUCAUCACAUCCUGGGGCUGAAGUAGGUCCCAAGGGUAUGGCUGUUCGCCAUUUAAAGUGGUACGCGAGCUGGGUUUAGAACGUCGUGAGACAGUUCGGUCCCUAUCUGCCGUGGGCGCUGGAGAACUGAGGGGGGCUGCUCCUAGUACGAGAGGACCGGAGUGGACGCAUCACUGGUGUUCGGGUUGUCAUGCCAAUGGCACUGCCCGGUAGCUAAAUGCGGAAGAGAUAAGUGCUGAAAGCAUCUAAGCACGAAACUUGCCCCGA
rnacentral:rRNA from 2 species